rnacentral:rRNA from 1 species
AGCUCCAUUAGCGUAUAUUAAAGUUGUUGCAGUUAAAAAGCUCGUAGUUGGAUUUCGGUGCGGGUCAGUCGGUCGGCCGCAAGGCCUGUUUACUGACUGGCCUGUUCUUCUUCCCGAAGACCGCGUCAUGCUCUUCGCUGAGUGUGCGCGGGAUUCGAGACGUUUACUUUGAAAAAAUUAGAGUGUUCAAGGCAGGCUUUCAAUCGAGCUUGAAUACAUGAGCAUGGAAUAAUGGAAUAGGACUACGGUCCCUAUUUCGUUGGUUUCGAGGACCGAAGUAAUGAUUAAGAGGGACAGUUGGGGGCAUCCGUAUUUCGCAGUCAGAGGUGAAAUUCUUGGAUCCGCGAAAGACGAACAACUGCGAAAGCAUUUGCCAAGAGUGUUUUCAUUAAUCAAGAAC